rnacentral:rRNA from 1 species
CCUACGGGCGGCUGCAGUGGGGAAUAUUGCACAAUGGGGGAAACCCUGAUGCAGCGACGCCGCGUGAGUGAAGAAGUAUUUCGGUAUGUAAAGCUCUAUCAGCAGGGAAGAAGAAAGACGGUACCUGACUAAGAAGCCCCGGCUAACUACGUGCCAGCAGCCGCGGUAAUACGUAGGGGGCAAGCGUUAUCCGGAUUUACUGGGUGGAAAGGGAGCGUAGACGGCUGUGCAAGUCUGAAGUGAAAGCCCAGGGCUCAACCCUGGGACUGCUCUGGAAACUGUACGGCUGGAGUGCAGGAGAGGUAAGUGGAAUUCCUAGUGUAGCGGUGAAAUGCGUAGAUAUUAGGAGGAACACCAGUAGCGAAGGCGGCUUACUGGACUGUAACUGACGUUGAGGCUCGAAAGCGUGGGGAGCAAACAGGAUUAGAUACCCGAGUAGUC